AAUGCUUAGGAAUCUGCCUAUUAGUGGGGGACAACAUUCCGAAAGGAAUGCUAAUACCACAUACGCCCUACGGGGGAAAGCAGGGGAUCUUCGGACCUUGCGCUAAUAGAUGAGCCUAAGUCAGAUUAGCUAGUUGGUGGGGUAAAGGCCUACCAAGGCGACGAUCUGUAGCGGGUCUGAGAGGAUGAUCCGCCACACUGGGACUGAGACACGGCCCAGACUCCUACGGGAGGCAGCAGUGGGGAAUAUUGGACAAUGGGCGCAAGCCUGAUCCAGCCAUGCCGCGUGUGUGAAGAAGGCCUUUUGGUUGUAAAGCACUUUAAGCGAGGAGGAGGCUACUUGGAUUAAUACUCUAGGAUAGUGGACGUUACUCGCAGAAUAAGCACCGGCUAACUCUGUGCCAGCAGCCGCGGUAAUACAGAGGGUGCGAGCGUUAAUCGGAUUUACUGGGCGUAAAGCGUGCGUAGGCGGCUUUUUAAGUCGGAUGUGAAAUCCCUGGGCUCAACCUGGGAAUUGCAUUCGAUACUGGGAAGCUAGAGUAUGGGAGAGGAUGGUAGAAUUCCAGGUGUAGCGGUGAAAUGCGUAGAGAUCUGGAGG
rnacentral:rRNA from 1 species